AACUUUUUAUGCCCCACCUACGAUAGUAGAGGGGCAUUAUGUUUUCUGGUCUGUGCGUCCGUUCGUCCGUUCGUUCGUCCGUUCGUCCGUUCGUCCGUCUGUCCCGCUUCAGGUUAAAGUUUUUGGUCGAGGUAGUUUUGAUGAAGUUGAAGUCCAAUCGACUCAACUUGGUACACAUUUCCCUAUGAUAUGAUCUUUCUAAUUUUAAUGCCAAAUUAGAGAUUUACCCCAAUUUCACGGUCCACUGAACAUAGAAAAUGAUAGUGCGAGUGGGGCAUUCGUGUACUGAGGACACAUUCUUGUUUUUUUGUUACUAUAAUAAACAUUACAGUAAGCAUUUAUCGCCUUCUCUAACAAAGAGCUUUGAUUCUUUUGUUCUGUUUCAACCGGGUUUCCACCUGUACAAGUUUGCCUCCCUUUUUUUUAUAUAUCAAACAAGAAACAGGUUUUUUUUUAAACUUUGUUUAUUAUGAGCAAUAUAUGAUAAUGAAAAAUACAAAGUUUUGAUAACAUGAGAAGAAUACAACCACUUAUCAUUCAAAAAUGCUUCAAAAGAUCUUUUAUCAGUAACAAUCUCAACAAGGUAUUAUUUAUCUGAAAAAUCUAUGUUCCAGUAUUCUCACUGUCCCACAUACAUUUAACUGUAAAUCAAAAUAUGAAUUUCUUCUGUCUAAAAGAAUAUUAAGAUAUAUAUCAUCUAUUCUGAAAAUUUUUUUUUUUGGUUUCCAUAAUAUUUAUAGAAGAAAUAAAUCAUAAGAAAAAAAGUUUUUGAUUAGAGUUUUGCCAUAGCUCAAAAAAGAGAUAACUUGAUUGGGUUCUUGCAAAAGGUAUAACAAUGUUCUGAGAAUUCUAGUUUUGAAAGCCAUCAAUAUCAUUAGUUUCUUAAUAUCAAAAUAAAAAUCUUUCAUGUCUGUAAAAAGGAAUAACAAAUGCCGUUAUUGACUUCUGAAACAGAAUAACAAAAACAAUUGUCAUUAUUGACUUUUGAAAUGGAAUAACAAAAACAAUAGCCAUUAUUGACUUUUGAAAUGGAAUAACAAAAACAAUUGUCAUUAUUGAUUUUUGAAAUGGAAUAACAAAAACAAUUGCCAUUAUUGAUUUUUGAAAUGGAAUAACAAAAACAACUACCUUUAGUUGGCAGCAGUCCUUUUGCGCCAAUUACUGUUUUCCAGGGGUAUCAUUUGCGCCAAAUUUUAUUUUCGAAAUGUAUCAAUUGCGGCAAUAUUCGGAACUCAUUUGCGCCAAUUUACCUGUACAUAUAUCUAUCAUAAAUAUUAAUGAUUACUAUAUAUGUAUUCUUAUUUUUGCCCCAAAAGGUAGCACAUGUUAGGAGAUAUUUCACCAUAAAGACGAGUUUCUGAAGAGAAUUAAAUGACUUAAGCAGCAUUAGACAGUCAAUGUACAGAGAGAGAAUAAAACUUAUUGCUUUGCUUAACAAAGAUAUGCCAAUAUAGAAAAUAGAAGUUUUUGCUCUUUAUGUUUAAGCCACAAAUGUUGAUGACACAGAGCUUUGUUCCACCAUGUGUAUGGGCUUUAUUAUUAUUAUGAACUAUUAUUUAUUAACUAUUUUAUGGAUUUCAUCCUUCAAUGUUUGUGUUUUUGGACAAUAAAAGAAGUUAAAAGCUACUAACAUACAUUAAAUUGGGAAGUACCCAUGCAGCAGCAGUAAUAAAAACAUAUGUUUCAGAAAAGGAAACAUGUGCCGUGUUACACUGCCGGUUCAAGUCCAAAUAAAGGAGUAAGGAAGUAAUUUUCUUUUAACUGGCGCAAUCGUAUGUUUUAUUUUUGGCGCAAAUGAAACCAUCUAAUUUUAAAACAUGUGGCGCAAACGUACCAUUUGAGAAAAAAAGUUGUGGCGCAAAAGGACGCAUUUUUGGCGCAAACGGAUCUCUCCCCUUUAGUUCUUGAAUGGUAAAACAGAAUAACAAAAACAAUUGCCUAUCGUUAUUGAAUGCUAAAACAGAAUAACAAAAACAAUCGCCAUUAUUGAUUUUUUAACAAAAAACAAUUGCCAGUUUUUACUUCUUAAAUAAAAUACCAAAAACAAUUCCAUAUUAUAUGACUCCUGAAAUGGAAUAACAAGAACAGUUUCAAAUUUUGACUUCUAAAACUUAAUGACUAAAAAUGUUGCCUUUGGUGACUUCUGAUAUGUUUUGACUUUUUUAUUGCAUGGUAAAUUAUGGAGUCAAUUAUAACAGUAAUAAAAAUCAUUUUCAAUUUGUUUUACUCAUUUGAAACCCCUAUAUAAACUUCAUUUGAUUUGAAUAAAAUACCACUGUUUUCAGAAUCAAUACAUAAUUAAAGGAAUAUAUUAUAUAUAAUUUAUAUCGAGUUAAGAAAAUAAAAAUCUGAAUUUAUCACAUGCUUAGUUUAGAUUCUAUCACAUGUUCAUUUAUCUAUCAAUAUAUAUCUUUUAAUAUAUCUAUAUAAAAAAAAUCCAUCAAAAACGCAUUCAGACUAGACAAAACCACCAAACACUAUUCAGUGAGCGAGAUACAAUUUUCUAUAAUAACAUUUAUCCAAUACGCUCUAGACAGAAAUAAUUGAG
rnacentral:lncRNA from 1 species